AUUUGGUUGAGAGUAACUGUGUUGUGAUAAUAUGCAUUAUUUUUAGAUGGAGAACAAGAAGCAAGAUCAAUUCAAACCCAAAGAACUCUAUACAAGAAGACUCCAAUAAACUCUGGGAACUGGAAGGAUUCCAAUGGAGUCUGCUAGAGAAGUCUUCUUAUCUGCUGAAGCCUGCCUUUCUGCUCACUGAUGAUACUACGAAAUAACCCUUGUCAAGGGGAUGCCUGAAGCCACUCCCAUCAAAGAGACUUGACAGACUUGAAAAGUGGGCCUCUAAAAAUGUCAUGUGUUCACAAGACCAAAUGCAAGGUCCUGCUCCUGGCUUGAGGCAAUCCCAACCAAAGACAGGCUGGACAUGGAAUGAUUGAGAGCAGCCCUGAGGAGGACUUGGGGGUGUUGGUGGAUGAGAAGCUGGGCAUGAGCUGGCAGUGUGUGUUUGCAGCCCAGAAAGCCAAUUGUAUCCUGGGCUGAAUCAAAAGCAGCGUGGCCAGAGGGGCGAGGGAGGGGAUUCAGCCCCUCUGCUCUGCUCUGCUCUGCUGAGACCCCACUUGCAGUGCUGUAUUGAGCACUGGAGACCCCAACACAGAGAGGACAUGAACCUCUUGGACUGAGUCCUCAGGAGGGCCACAAACAUGAUUGGAGGGCUGGAGCAUCUCUCCUGUGAAGACAGGUUGAAAGCAUUGGCAUUAUUCAGUGUGGAGAAGUGAAGGCUCCAGUGAGACUGAAUUGGACCUCCCAGUAUUUAAAGGAGACUUGUAAGAAAGAUGAGGACAAACUUUUCCAUAGGGCCUGUAGUGAUAGGACAAGGGGCAAAGUCUUUUAACUGAAAGCGGGUAUAUUUAGAUUAGAUAUAAAGGUGUUUUUUAUUAUGGGGGUGAUGAGACACUAGAACAGCAUGCCAAGAAAAGCUGUGAUGCCCUGUCCCUGGGUGUGUUCAAGAGCAGGCUGGAUGAAGAUUUGAACAACUUGAUCUAGUGGAAGGUGUCCCUGACUACAGCAAGGUGGCUGUAACUAGAUGAUCUUUAAGGUCCCUUCCAACUCAACCAUUCCAUGAUUCUAUGAAAACAGUUGUUCAACUCUAACAAAUACAUAACGAGAGUAUGGGCCUGUCCUAUGCACAGCUACCUGUGUGUUGUGACUGCCCUUUGUCAUGGACAGCAAGGGGAUUGGAAGAUAUAAGCUGGACUUCAAACCUAGCUUAUUACCUACUGAAACUAACACCAACUUGACCUCAUAAAAGUUUUAGGUCUAAUUUGAGUCACAGUAGUGUCCUGUAGUUCUGCAUCAGCAGCUUUGCCUAGGCUUAUCUUUUAGUUCAUUUCACAUUCUCAUUUGUGCCUCAAAAGUGAGACUCUGCAGUCCACAAUGGAGUUAGAUGUUCAUUUUGGAAGAAGAAAACCAGACCACAUCACUGGGCCACAGUGUCCGCCUAAAGACCUAUAUCAUUAGUACUCACCUAUCCAAAGAGAAGAGCAACACUCCAACCAAGUCCACAGCAUGAACCUGAUUCCUUCAAUUUCUGUAAAGCCUAAAAGUGGUGUUGUUGCAAUUAAAAAUGCAAAAGUGCAAGUGACUUUCUUGAUAAAUUUGCUGAUUUUGUGCUUUCUGGAGGUAUAGCACUAUGUUACCUACUGUCCAUUUAAACAAAAUGGAAGAAAACCAACAAAAGUUCACUGGAAGUUGCCUCCCAAUAUGUUUCUUUGUUGUCAGCGACUUAGAAAUCCUCCUGUGAAUGAUGGACUUUAUUGACUUUAUUAGCCAAUCACAAUUAAUAAGAUUAUAAGAUUUAAUAAUUUGCAGAUAACCUUUGUUAAGGUUGUACCCUGAGGCAGAACAACACCUUAUCAAAUAAAAUCAUAAGUGGAUCAGUUAUACAUUAUCUUUAGAAGUUAAACUAUCAACAAAAGCAGCUGUGACAGAAGUAUGAUAUGCAGGCAAUUAUUUUUAGUUGUGACUGUUCUUAGGAGAGCAAUUCCUAGAGAAGAAUCAGAAUAUAAUUUUUCUACCCAGAAGACCUAAAUUACAAGGGAGUACUGCUGAUCGAACAGACUAACCUUGAUGAAGUAUGAUCAUUAUUAGGGAGGCUAAGUAGAAGCUUCCAGUGUUUCAGCAAAUAUGACUUUGGUAUUAGAGAAAUAAGGGGGGGUUCUUAGUCUCAUAUUUUUAUUAGAAGAAUAGGGCAACAUGUUUGUGGUACAGGAAAGGAAUAAGCAGAUCAUGUUGCAGAUGUGAAGGAAAUAUGCAAAUGCUGAUAUUUUUACAGAAUAACAUGGUGCAAACUGAAGAGAAUCUUUCUAUCUCAGUCCUUUAAAACAAAUCUCUGGUGGAUUUUUUUUAAAUUUACUUCUGUUUCUACUUGUGGUGGGAAAAGAAGGUAUAGCAAAGGGGGAAGUGCCUGUUCAAUUGUGUUGCCUUGUGUUACAACAUCCCACAAUUUCUGCAAUUUUGGAAAAUCCAGCUUGUUACUGACUUAAGAGACUUUUUAGAGAUAUAUAAGGCACCCCAAUACAGAUGUAGUAUCAUGGAGACCUGUGCCCAGAACAAUAUUUGUACCCUCCUUGUUCAUAUCACAGAUUUAUGAGAGCUUCUUAGUGGAAUUACUGAAACCUUUAGACUGGGGAAAGCUUCCCUAGGUGUAAUGGGCAAGAGAUGGCUUU